GGGGUUAUAGCUCAGCUGGGAGAGCGCCUGCCUUGCACGCAGGAGGUCUGCGGUUCGAUCCCG
rnacentral:tRNA from 1 species